rnacentral:rRNA from 1 species
AGGAGAGUUUGAUCCUGGCUCAGGACGAACGCUGGCGGCGUGCCUAACACAUGCAAGUCGAACGGAACUACUAGGAAGGAUCUCUUCGGAGAAACGGAAUUUUAGUUUAGUGGCGGACGGGUGAGUAACGCGUGAGUAACCUGCCUUUGAGAGGGGAAUAACGUUCUGAAAAGAACGCUAAUACCGCAUAACAUAUACUGAUCGCAUGGUCGGUAUAUCAAAGAUUUUAUCGCUCAAAGAUGGACUCGCGUCCGAUUAGCUUGUUGGCGGGGUAACGGCCCACCAAGGCGACGAUCGGUAGCCGGACUGAGAGGUUGAACGGCCACAUUGGGACUGAGACACGGCCCAGACUCCUACGGGAGGCAGCAGUGGGGGAUAUUGCGCAAUGGGGGCAACCCUGACGCAGCAACGCCGCGUGAAGGAUGAAGGUUUUCGGAUUGUAAACUUCUUUUGUCAGGGACGAAAUCUGACGGUACCUGACGAAUAAGCUCCGGCUAACUACGUGCCAGCAGCCGCGGUAAUACGUAGGGAGCAAGCGUUGUCCGGAUUUACUGGGUGUAAAGGGUGCGUAGGCGGCUAAGCAAGUCAGAUGUGAAAUCUAUGGGCUCAACCCAUAAACUGCAUUUGAAACUGCAUAGCUUGAGUGAAGUAGAGGCAGGCGGAAUUCCCCGUGUAGCGGUGAAAUGCGUAGAGAUGGGGAGGAACACCAGUGGCGAAGGCGGCCUGCUGGGCUUUAACUGACGCUGAGGCACGAAAGCGUGGGUAGCAAACAGGAUUAGAUACCCUGGUAGUCCCCU